rnacentral:lncRNA from 1 species
CCAAAGUUCCAUUUUCCCUUCCUAAGCAGCAGUUGGUCUUAGAACUGGAGGAGGACUGAGACUAUAGGCAGGAAUUAAGGGGCCCUAUGUGGAGGGCUUCAGGGCCAGGAAACCAGGUCUGUCAUUAUAAUUGUCACUGGAUUUGCUUAACAUCCUUAUCACAGGAACACAAUCUAGAAAGGCUUGAAUUCUCAAUUCAGUCUGAUAGAUUUUUUUUCUCCAAGAAAGGAGAAUAUGGCAAAUGGAAGGAGGGAAGUUGCUUCUUCCUCUGCACUUGGUGGCAGGAGGGCAACUUGUUGACAUGCUUCAAUCAUCCACCAGCUUCAGCCACAGACCUGUUGGAGCCAACAAAAAGGUUCAGAACUCUUGAAAGCCAUGACCUGCUUUUUCAUGCAGAUCCUUUAAUCCAUAAGGAACCAUGUGGUGCUUGACAGAGAGUGAUUCUUCAGCAGGGAGUCGCAGUUGAAAUUAGAACUAAGCUGUAAUCACGGUAUGUCUUGGGUGUGUGAUGCAGCCUGAAAAAAAACCCCAACCCAAACAUACUCUUACUGUAUAAUGCACACCCUGGGGUGUUAUUGCUUUCAUAAAAUGUAUUUUCUAAUUGUCAAUUUACCAAAUUAUGGCCCCAUGCCUGCAACUGUACUCUUCUUAAAAGUCUAAUUUUCAUUCAAAAAUGCUUUAAAAAAAUCAUUACCUUUACUGAAGGAAGCCUCUGGAAAGAAGAAUCAAACUGGCUGUGAAUCAACCAAAGAAAACUCAGAGUAAAAGGUAGAUGGGGGAUGGUAGGAGCUGCCAUCUUGGAUUGUUCUUUCACAGUGAGUACACACUUUUUUCCCCCCAAAACUCUGGAGGGCCCAACUUUUUCUUCUUCUUUGGAAGAUGCAAAUCAAAUUACUUGAGCACUUUCUUUUUUUAAAAUUUAAAAUUUAAAUAUUUGAUUUUUCCCAGUUAUAUAUAAUACUAUUUUAAACAUAAAUUUCCCCAAAUUAUGAGAUACCUCCUCUCUCUGAGAUGGUAAACUAUUUGAUCUCGGUUAUGUAUGAUCACACAAAAUAUUUCCAUAUUGGUCAUGUUGAGAGAGAAUACUCAUAUAAAAUCAAAAGUCCCAAAUAGAAACACACACAUAAAUAAAAUAAAGUAAAUGAUAGUGUGUAUCA